rnacentral:rRNA from 1 species
ACGGCUCAGUAACACGUGGACAACCUACCCUGAGGUCGGGGAUAAACCCGGGAAACUGGGUAUAAUACCCGAUAGAUCUAGGAGGCUGGAAUGCAUUUAGAUCUAAAGUUCCGACGCCUCAGGAUGGGUCUGCGGCCUAUCAGGGUAGUAGUAGGUGUAACGUACCUACUAGCCUACGACGGGUACGGGUUGUGAGAGCAAGAGCCCGGAGAUGGAUUCUGAGACACGAAUCCAGGCCCUACGGGGUGCAGCAGGCGCGAAACCUUUACAAUGCUGGCAACAGCGAUAAGGGGACCUCGAGUGCCACGAUACAAUCGUGGCUGUCUAGUUGCCUAAAAAGCAAUUGAUAGCAAGGGCCGGGCAAGACCGGUGCCAGCCGCCGCGGUAACACCGGCGGCUCGAGUGGUAACCGCUAUUAUUUGGUCUAAAGGGUCUGUAGCCGGCUUAGUCAGUCUCUUGAGAAAUCUGGCCGCUCAACUGUCAGGCGUUCAGGGGAUACUGCUAAAGCUCGAGACCGGGAGAGGUGAGAGGUACUUCAGGGGUAGGGGUGAAAUCUUGUAAUCCUUGAAGGACCACCAGUGGCGAAGGCGUCUCACCAGAACGGAUCUGACGGCAAGGGACGAAAGCUAGGGGCACGAACCGGAUUAGAUACCCGGGUAGUCCUAGCCGUAAACGAUACUCGCUAGGUGUCAGCCACGGUGCGACCGUGGUUGGUGCCGUAGGGAAGCCGUGAAGCGAGCCACCUGGGAAGUACGGCCGCAAGGCUGAAACUUAAAGGAAUUGGCGGGGGAGCAC